rnacentral:rRNA from 1 species
GAUGAACGCUGGCGGCGUGCCUAAUACAUGCAAGUCGAGCGAACGGACGAGAAGCUUGCUUCUCUGAUGUUAGCGGCGGACGGGUGAGUAACACGUGGAUAACCUACCUAUAAGACUGGGAUAACUUCGGGAAACCGGAGCUAAUACCGGAUAAUAUUUUGAACCGCAUGGUUCAAAAGUGAAAGACGGUCUUGCUGUCACUUAUAGAUGGAUCCGCGCUGCAUUAGCUAGUUGGUAAGGUAACGGCUUACCAAGGCAACGAUGCAUAGCCGACCUGAGAGGGGGAUCGCCCACACUGGAACGGGGACACGGUCCAGACCCCUACGGGAGGCAGCAGUAGGGAAUCUUCCGCAAUGGGCGAAAGCCUGACGGAGCAACGCCACGUGAGUGAUGAAGGUCUUCGGAUCGUAAAACUCUGUUAUUAGGGAAGAACAUAUGUGUAAGUAACUGUGCACAUCUUGACGGUACCUAAUCAGAAAGCCACGGCUAACUACGUG